rnacentral:rRNA from 1 species
AAUGAUACCCCGAGGUAGUCCAUGCCCGUAAACGUUGGGAACUAGAUGUGGGGACCAUUCCACGGGUCUCCGUGUCGCAGCUAACGCAUUAAGUUCCCCGCCUGGGGAGUACGGCCGCAAGGCUAAAACUCAAAGGAAUUGACGGGGGCCCGCACAAGCGGCGGAGCAUGCGGAUUAAUUCGAUGCAACGCGAAGAACCUUACCAAGGCUUGACAUAUACCGGAAAGGUCUGGAAACAGUCCCCCCGCAAGGUCGGUAUACAGGUGGUGCAUGGUUGUCGUCAGCUCGUGUCGUGAGAUGUUGGGUUAAGUCCCGCAACGAGCGCAACCCUCGUUCUAUGUUGCCAGCGGUUCGGCCGGGGACUCAUAGGAGACUGCCGGGGUCAACUCGGAGGAAGGUGGGGAUGAGGUCAAAUCAUCAUGCCCCUUAUGUCUUGGGCUUCACGCAUGCUACAAUGGCCGGUACAAAGGGCUGCAAUACCGCGAGGUGGAGCGAAUCCCAAAAAGCCGGUCUCAGUUCGGAUUGAGGUCCGCAACUCGACCCCAUGAAGUCGG